GCCCCUAUAGCCCAACAGGCAGAGGCGGGCGACUUAAAAUCGCUUCAGUCUGGGUUCGAAUCCCAGUGGGGGCA
rnacentral:tRNA from 1 species